rnacentral:rRNA from 1 species
AUUGAACGCUGGCGGCAGGCCUAACACAUGCAAGUCGAACGAGUGGCGGACGGGUGAGUAAUGUCUGGGAAACUGCCCGAUGGAGGGGGAUAACUACUGGAAACGGUAGCUAAUACCGCAUACCAUCGGAUGUGCCCAGAUGGGAUUGGCUAGUAGGUGGGGUAACGGCUCACCUGGGCGACGAUCCCUAGCUGGUCUGAGGGGAUGACCAGCCACACGGGAACUGGGACACGGGCCGGACUCUGACGGAGGGCAGCAGGGGGGAAUAUUGGACAAGGGGCGCAAGCCUGAUGAAGCCAUGCCGCGUGUAGGAAGAAGGCCUUCGGGUUGUAAAGUACUUUCAGCGAGGAGGCGUUACUCGCAGAAGAAGCACCGGCUAACUCCGUGCCAGCAGCCGCGGUAAUUC